AUUGAACGCUGGCGGCAUGCCUUACACAUGCAAGUCGAACGGUAACAGGUCUUCGGAUGCUGACGAGUGGCGGACGGGUGGGUAAUACAUCGGAACGUGCCCGAUCGUGGGGGAUAACGAAGCGAAAGCUUUGCUAAUACCGCAUACGAUCUACGGAUGAAAGCCGGGGACCGCAAGGCCUUGCGCGAACGGAGCGGCCGAUGGCCGAUUAGGUAGUUGGUGGGAUAAAAGCUUACCAAGCCGACGAUCUGUAGCGGGUCUGAGAGGACGAGCAGCCACACUGGGACUGAGACACGGCCCAGACUCCUACGGUAGGCAGCAGUGGGGAAUUUUGGACAAUGGGCGAAAGCCUGAUCCAGUCAUGCCGCGUGCAGGAUGAAGGCCUUCGGGUUGUAAACUGCUUUUGUACGGAACGAAAAGACUCUGGUUAAUACCUGGGGUCCAUGACGGUACCGUAAGAAUAAGCACCGGCUAACUACGUG
rnacentral:rRNA from 1 species